rnacentral:rRNA from 1 species
UACGGAGGGGGGCUAGCGUUGUUCGGAAUUACUGGGCGUAAAGCGCACGUAGGCGGCUUUGUAAGUUAGAGGUGAAAGCCCAGGGCUUAACCCUGGAAUUGCCUUUAAGACUGCAUCGCUAGAAUCGUGGAGAGGUGAGUGGAAUUCCGAGUGUAGAGGUGAAAUUCGUAGAUAUUCGGAAGAACACCAGUGGCGAAGGCGGCUACCUGGCCCAACAUUGACACUGAGACUCGAAAGCGUGGGGAUCAAACAGG